rnacentral:rRNA from 1 species
GACGAACGCUGGCGGCGUGCUUAACACAUGCAAGUCGAACGAAGUGGCGAACGGGUGAGUAACGCGUAAUCAACCUGCCCUUCAGCGGGGGACAAAAGUUGGAAACGACUGCUAAUACCGCAUACUGCAGGAGGGGAUUGCGGCGGAUUAGGUAGGUGGAGGGGUAACGGCCCACCAAGGCGAUGAGCAGUAGCCGGUCUGGGAUGAUGAACGGCCACAUUGGGACUGAGACACGGCCCAGACGCCUACGGGAGGCAGCAGUGGGGAAUCUUCCGCAAUGGACGAAAGUCUGACGGAGCAACUCCGCGUGAGUGAUGACGGCCUUCGGGUUGUAAAGCUCUGUUAAUCGGGACGCGGUACCGGAAUAGAAAGCCACGGCUAACUACGUGCCAGCAGCCGCGGUAAUUC